ACAGGGAUUAGAUACCCUGGUAGUCCUUGCUGUAAACGAUGCAUACUUGGUGUAGUUGGACUCAACCCCGACUGUGCCGUAGCUAACGCGUUAAGUAUGCCACCUGAGGAGUACGCCCGCAAGGGUGAAACUCAAAAGAAUUGACGGGGGCCCGCACAAGCAGUGGAGCAUGUGGUUUAAUUCGAUGCAACGCGAAGAACCUUACCCAGGCUUGACAUGUAAAGGACGGCUCUAGAGAUAGAGUUUCCCGCAAGGGUCUUUACACAGGUGCUGCAUGGCUGUCGUCAGCUCGUGCCGUGAGGUGUUGGGUUAAGUCCCGCAACGAGCGCAACCCUUGUCGUUAGUUACCAACAUGUAAUGGUGGGGACUCUAACGAGACUGCCUAGGUUAACUAGGAGGAAGGUGAGGAUGACGUCAAGUCCGCAUGGCCCUUAUGUCUGGGGCUACACACGUGCUACAAUGGUCGGUACAGAAGGUAGCAAGACCGAAAGGUGGAGCAAAUCCCUAAAGCCGAUCUCAGUUCGGAUAGAAGUCUGCAACUCGACUUCUUGAAGUUGGAAUUGCUAGUAAUGACGUGUCAGCAAUAACGUCGUGAAUACGUUCCCGGGCCUUGUACACACCGCCCGUCAAAUCAUGGAAGUUGGUUUUACCCGAAGUCGUUGACUUAACCGUAAGGAAAGAGACGACGAAGGUGAGGCCGAUAACUGGGAUUAAGUCGUAACAAGGUAACCANNNNNNNNNNNNNNNNNNNNNNNNNNNNNNNA
rnacentral:rRNA from 1 species